UACGUAGGGUGCAAGCGUUGUCCGGAAUUAUUGGGCGUAAAGAGCUCGUAGGCGGUCUGUCGCGUCUGCUGUGAAAUCUCAGGGCUUAACCCUGAGCUUGCAGUGGGUACGGGCAGACUAGAGUGCGGUAGGGGAGACUGGAAUUCCUGGUGUAGCGGUGAAAUGCGUAGAUAUCUGAAGGAACAUCAGUGGCGAAAGCGACUUCCUGGACCAAUACUGACGCUCAUGUGCGAAAAGCGUGGGGGAGCAAACAGG
rnacentral:rRNA from 1 species